rnacentral:lncRNA from 1 species
UGGAGAAAAAAUAUAGCAGGAUAUACAUGGAUGAUAAGAAUAUUUAUUUGGUCAUAUAAUGGAAAAUAUGAAAUUUUGUUAGAGAUGUGGAUGAAGUUACAGAGAAAUCCUUUCAUGUAUCAGUGUGAAGAACUAUGUGUGAAUUCCAGACGGUUCUGGGGCUCAAAAUGCUUAAAAUAGCUGCAGGAAGAAGAGAAAUUUUCAGGCAGAAUCGCAAAUCCAGUCUCACGUCGGCACUCACACCUGGUAAGAUAUUUGAAGGCCAAUGUGGAAGUAUCAUGGGUAUCUCAGCGAGCUAAUUAUACAUUUUUAUGUUUGUUAGUAAAGCUUCUUUUAUGUUGUGAAGUGUGUCUGAAAUCCUAUACUAGUUUUUCUAUGUGGGACAUGAAGCUUCAUUUAGGACGAAAAAACAAGAUCUGCUUUUUUGGUCUCUUUUGUUGUGGAAAGGCCCAUCAAUAGACCUGCCUUGUAAAAGCGUGUUCUUUCUCAUCGAGAAAGCCGGCCUCGUCACUAGCGCUCCCAACUGGUCUCAGCAGCGACGCACAAACGGUAGUUGCAAGGAACCAUCUUUAACUGGCUUCACACUCUAUCCCUUCAUGACACUCUGACUGCCACUCACACUGUCAGUGUCAGUAAACCACUGAAGAAAACGCCAAUUCUUAGGAUUAUCUCUCCAGUUCUCCCACAGUUGUGCAUCACCUCAGCAUUGUGUUUACUUCUGACUCAAACUUUAGUGGUGGUCAUUUCUAGCGGCGAUAUCAUUACUAAAAGCGCAGUUAGUUACCCAUGCCUCGGUACUGACAGUAGCAGUCAGGGGAAAGGACUGUGCUUCACUUCUGAAAGACUUAAGCACCUACAAAACUUGUUUGGAAUUCCUCUGCAUGGGAGUCUGUGUGGUCCAUUCUCCAAUAUGAAUUUAUUUACUUAAUGACUCGGAUUAACAUGGAUUCAUGUAUAUUUAUUUCACAUUGUGUGUUGUAGUCCAACGAGCGCUCUGCCUUCCCGUGUUCACGCUCGGCUCGGUGGAGGCGCUCAACCUCCGGUCAAGAAAGACGAUGUUUGCUGUUGUACGCAGAUACUUUCUGCUGUAUUUCAGGAAGUCCUUUCUCACCAAGAACCAUUCUAGUAACGACAAGAAGCAAACAUCCGGGCCUUUCGGUCAGAGCUCAGGUCCACUGGCCAGCUGGAGAGGAAGUCCUCGGGCAGAGCGAGAUGUGCCCGAAGGAGAAGUGUGA